CCUACGGGGGGCAGCAGUGAGGAAUAUUGGUCAAUGGGCGGGAGCCUGAACCAGCCAAGUCGCGUGAAGGAAGAAGGUACUUAGUAUUGUAAACUUCUUUUGUCGGGGAACAAAGGCGGAGACGCGUCUCCGGAUGAGUGUACCCGAAGAAAAAGCAUCGGCUAACUCCGUGCCAGCAGCCGCGGUAAUACGGAGGAUGCGAGCGUUAUCCGGAUUUAUUGGGUUUAAAGGGUGCGUAGGCGGUCCGUUAAGUCAGCGGUAAAAUUGCGGGGCUCAACCCCGUCGAGCCGUUGAAACUGGCAGACUUGAGUUGGCGAGAAGUACGCGGAAUGCGCGGUGUAGCGGUGAAAUGCAUAGAUAUCGCGCAGAACUCCGAUUGCGAAGGCAGCGUACCGGCGCCAGACUGACGCUGAGGCACGAAAGCGUGGGGAUCGAACAGGAUUAGAUACCCUUGUAGUC
rnacentral:rRNA from 1 species